rnacentral:rRNA from 1 species
UGAGGAAUUUUCCGCAAUGGGCGAAAGCCUGACGGAGCAACGCCGCGUGAGGGAUGAAGUCUCUAGGGAUGUAAACCUCUGUUGGGAGGGACGAAGAUCUGACGGUACCUCCUGAGGAAGCCCCGGCUAACUACGUGCCAGCAGCCGCGGUAAUACGUAGGGGGCAAGCGUUAUCCGGAUUUACUGGGCGUAAAGAGCGCGUAGGCGGUUCCGUAAGUUGGUUGUGAAAGUUCGAGGCUCAACCUCGAAACUGCGUCCAAUACUGCGGGGCUGGAGUGCAAGAGAGGCAAGUGGAAUUUGCGGUGUAGUAGUGAAAUGCGUAGAUAUCGCAAGGAACACCAGUGGCGAAGGCGGCUUGCUAGCUUGUAACUGACGCUGAGGCGCGAAAGCUAGGGGAGCGAACGGGAUUAGAUACCCCCGUAGUCC